rnacentral:miRNA from 10 species
AAUCUGUCUAUGGCCAUACCACCCUGAACGCGCCCGAUCUCGUCUGAUCUCGGAAGCUAAGCAGGGUCGGGCCUGGUUAGUACUUGGAUGGG